UUCCAUUCGACCGAGAUUAAAAGUGAACCGCGGAAAGCUCAUAAAUCAGUCAUGUUCACUCGGUCACAGUGCCCCUCGCGGGCGAUUGGACAACUGUGGUAAUUCUAGAGCUAAUACAUGCAGAUCUCGAGUCCCGUCCAGUGAUGGUAGGGACGCUUUUAUUAGAUCAAAACCGAUCGGGCCCUCACGGGCCCGUCAUCUUUGAUGACUCUGAAUCGACUGUGUCAGAUCGCACGGUCACCGCGCCGGCGACGAGCCAUUCAAAUGCCUGCCUUAUCAACUCUGUCGGUAGGCUCGGUGUCUACCCUGGUUGUAACGGGUGACGGGGAAUCAGGGUUCGAUUCCGGAGAGGAAGCCUGAGAAACUGCUACCACAUCUAAGGAAGGCAGCAGGCACGCAAAUUACCCACUCCCGGCACGGGGAGGUAGUGACAAAAAAUAACGAUACGGGACUCAUCCGAGGCCCCGUAAUCGGAAUGUGAACACUUUAAAUCCUUUAACGAGGAUCAAUUGGAGGGCAAGUCUGGUGCCAGCAGCUGCGGUAAUUCCAGCUCCAAUAGCGUAUAUUAAAGUUGUUGCGGUUAAAAAGCUCGUAGUUGGUUCUGCUUGCUGCGCUGUCGGUUCACCGCCUGCCGGUGCAACUGGCACGCCGUGGCAUGUACUGCCGGUGGUACGGCACCGGAUGUACGGGGGGCGUCGCCGCGGGGCCCGCCCCGCGCGCGUCCCUCUGCCGCCGGGCCGCACCUCUUUUUUUAGUGCCGCGGUGCUCUUUACUGAGUGUCGCGGCAGGCCGGCCUUGUUACUUUGAACAAAUGAGAGUGCUCAAAGCAGGCGGACAUUUGCCUUGAAUACAGGAUGCAUGGAAUAAUGGAGUAGGACCUCGGUUCUAUUUUGUUGGUUUUUUUCUGAAUCCGAGGUAAUGAUCAAUGUGGACAGGCGGGGGCAUUCGUAUUGCGACGUUAGAGGUGAAAUUCUUGGAUCGUCGCAAGACGUACUAGAGCGAAAGCAUUUGCCAAGUAUGUCUUGGUCAUCAAAACGAAAUUAAGGUCCAAGGUAG
rnacentral:rRNA from 1 species